AACGAACGCUGGCGGCAUGCCUAACACAUGCAAGUCGAACGAGAUCUUCGGGUCUAGUGGCGCACGGGUGCGUAACGCGUGGGAAUCUGCCCUUUGGUUCGGAAUAACAGUUGGAAACGACUGCUAAUACCGGAUGAUGACGAAAGUCCAAAGAUUUAUCGCCAGAGGAUGAGCCCGCGUGGGAUUAGCUAGUUGGUGUGGUGAAGGCGCACCAAGGGGACGAUCCUUAGCUGGUCUGAGAGGAUGAUCAGCCACACUGGGACUGAGACACGGCCCAGACUCCUACGGGAGGCAGCAGUGGGGAAUAUUGGACAAUGGGCGAAAGCCUGAUCCAGCAAUGCCGCGUGAGUGAUGAAUGCCUUAGGGUUGUAAAGCUCUUUUACCCGGGAUGAUAAUGACAGUACCGGGAGAAUAAGCUCCGGCUAACUCCGUGCCAGCAGCCGCAGUAA
rnacentral:rRNA from 1 species